rnacentral:rRNA from 1 species
UACGAAGGACCCGAGCGUUAUCCGGAUUUAUUGGGUUUAAAGGGUGCGUAGGCGGGUUAUUAAGUCAGUGGUGAAAGCCUACAGCUUAACUGUAGAAUUGCCAUUGAUACUGAUAAUCUUGAGUAUGAUUGAGGUGGGCGGAAUGUGUCAUGUAGCGGUGAAAUGCUUAGAUAUGACACAGAACACCGAUUGCGAAGGCAGCUCACUAAGCCAUAACUGACGCUGAUGCACGAAAGCGUGGGGAUCAAACAGG